rnacentral:rRNA from 1 species
UACGUAGGGUGCGAGCGUUAAUCGGAAUUACUGGGCGUAAAGCGUGCGCAGGCGGUUUUGUAAGUCAGAUGUGAAAUCCCCCGGGCUCAACCUGGGAACUGCGUUUGAAACUACAAGGCUAGAGUGUAGCAGAGGGGGGGUAGAAUUCCACGUGUAGCAGUGAAAUGCGUAGAGAUGUGGAGGAAUACCAAUGGCGAAGGCAGCCCCCUGGGUUAACACUGACGCUCAUGCACGAAAGCGUGGGGAGCAAACAGG